CCCUUGGAGGCGUGGCUUCCGGAGCUAACGCGUUAAAUCGACCGCCUGGGGAGUACGGCCGCAAGGUUAAAACUCAAAUGAAUUGACGGGGGCCCGCACAAGCGGUGGAGCAUGUGGUUUAAUUCGAUGCAACGCGAAGAACCUUACCUGGUCUUGACAUCCACAGAACUUUCCAGAGAUGGAUUGGUGCCUUCGGGAACUGUGAGACAGGUGCUGCAUGGCUGUCGUCAGCUCGUGUUGUGAAAUGUUGGGUUAAGUCCCGCAACGAGCGCAACCCUUAUCCUUUGUUGCCAGCGGUUCGGCCGGGAACUCAAAGGAGACUGCCAGUGAUAAACUGGAGGAAGGUGGGGAUGACGUCAAGUCAUCAUGGCCCUUACGACCAGGGCUACACACGUGCUACAAUGGCAUAUACAAAGAGAAGCGACCUCGCGAGAGCAAGCGGACCUCAUAAAGUAUGUCGUAGUCCGGAUUGGAGUCUGCAACUCGACUCCAUGAAGUCGGAAUCGCUAGUAAUCGUAGAUCAGAAUGCUACGGUGAAUACGUUCCCGGGCCUUGUACACACCGCCCGUCACACCAUGGGAGUGGGUUGCAAAAGAAGUAGGUAGCUUAACCUUCGGGAGGGCGCUUACCACUUUGUGAUUCAUGACUGGGGUGAAGUCGUAACAAGGU
rnacentral:rRNA from 1 species